AGGUCAAAAGCAAAGACGACGUACAUAUCGUGCUCACGGAAGAAUCAAUCCCUACAUGUCAUCUCCAUGCCACAUUGAACUGAUUUUAUCUGAGAAGGAAGAAGCUGUCCCGAAAGAGCCUGAGUCCCAGUUGGCAACUAGCAACAAGAAGAAGUCUGAAGGUCUUCGAAGCGGCGCUUCAUCAUAAAUUGUUAUUGGAGCUUAUAUUUGAGGU